UACGGAGGGUGCAAGCGUUAAUCGGAAUUACUGGGCGUAAAGCGUGCGUAGGCGGUUCGUUAAGUCUGUUUGUGAAAGCCCCGGGCUCAACCUGGGAAUGGCAAUGGAUACUGGCGAGCUAGAGUGUGUCAGAGGAUGGUGGAAUUCCCGGUGUAGCGGUGAAAUGCGUAGAGAUCGGGAGGAACAUCAGUGGCGAAAGCGGCUUCCUGGUCCAGCACCGACGUUCAGGCACGAAAGCGUGGGGAGCAAACAGG
rnacentral:rRNA from 1 species